rnacentral:rRNA from 1 species
UACGGAGGGGGCUAGCGUUGUUCGGAAUUACUGGGCGUAAAGCGCGCGUAGGCGGCUUGACAAGUUGGAGGUGAAAGCCCGGAGCUCAACUUCGGAAUUGCCUUCAAGACUGUCUCGCUAGAGGCGGGGAGAGGAGAGCGGAAUACCCAGUGUAGAGGUGAAAUUCGUAGAUAUUGGGUGGAACACCGGUGGCGAAGGCGGCUCUCUGGCCCUGAUCUGACGCUAAGGCGCGAAAGCGUGGGGAGCAAACAGGAUUAGAUACCCUGGUAGUCCACGCCGUAAACUAUGAGUGCUAGAUGUUGGGGGGUUUACUCUUCAGUGUCGCAGCUAACGCAUUAAGCACUCCGCCUGGGGAGUACGGCCGCAAGGUUAAA